rnacentral:rRNA from 1 species
UAGUCCACGCCGUAAACAAUGGAUACUAGCUGUUUAUUUCGAUUUUUUCGUAAUGAGUGGCCAAGCGAAAGUGAUAAGUAUCCCACCUGGGGAGUACGUUCGCAAGAAUGAAACUCAAAGGAAUUGACGGGGGGCCCGCACAAGCGGUGGAGCAUGUGGUUUAAUUCGAUGAUACGCGAGGAACCUUACCAAGGCUUAAAUGCAAUACGAAUACUAUGGAAACAUAGUAGUCUAUCAGACGGAUUGCAAGGUGCUGCAUGGUUGUCGUCAGCUCGUGUCGUGAGAUGUUCGGUUAAGUCCGGCAACGAGCGCAACCCACAUCUUUAGUUGCCAGCAUUCAGUUGGGCACUCUAAAGAAACUGCCCGUGAUAAGCGGGAGGAAGGUGUGGAUGACGUCAAGUCCUCAUGGCCCUUACGGGGUUGGGGCUACACACGUGCUACAAUGGUAGUGACAGUGAGUUAAUCU